rnacentral:rRNA from 1 species
AUACGAAGGGUGCAAGCGUUAAUCGGAAUUACUGGGCGUAAAGCGUGCGCAGGCGGUUUUGUAAGACAGUGGUGAAAUCCCCGGGCUCAACCUGGGAACUGCCAUUGUGACUGCAAGGCUGGAGUGCGGCAGAGGGGGAUGGAAUUCCGCGUGUAGCAGUGAAAUGCGUAGAUAUGCGGAGGAACACCGAUGGCGAAGGCAAUCCCCUGGGCCUGCACUGACGCUCAUGCACGAAAGCGUGGGGAGCAAACAGGAUUAGAUACCCUGGUAGUCCACGCCCUAGACGAUGUCAACUGGUUGUUGGGGAUUUAUUUUCUCAGUAACGAAGCUAACGCGUGAAGUUGACCGCCUGGGGAGUACGGCCGCAAGGUUAAAACUCAAAUGAAUUGACGGGG